rnacentral:tRNA from 6 species
CCCCCGGUAGCUCAGUUUGGUGAGAGCGCUGGUCUGAAAAACCAGAGGUCGUCAGUUCGAUACUGACCUGGGGGA